UACGUAGGGGGCUAGCGUUGUCCGGAAUCAUUGGGCGUAAAGAGCGUGUAGGCGGCCCGGUAAGUCCGCUGUGAAAGUCGGGGGCUCAACCUCGAAUGCCGGUGGAUACUGUCGGGCUAGAGUGCGGAAGAGGCGAGCGGAAUUCCUGGUGUAGCGGUGAAAUGCGCAGAUAUCAGGAGGAACACCGAUUGCGAAGGCAGCUCGCUGGGACGUCACUGACGCUGAGACGCGAAAGCGUGGGGAGCAAACAGG
rnacentral:rRNA from 1 species